CACGGGGGGGGCGAGCGUUGUCCGGAAUUAUUGGGCGUAAAGAGCGCGUAGGCGGGAUGAUCAGUCCGUGGUGAAAACUUGUGGCUUAACCGCAAGCCUGCCCUGGAUACUGUCAUUCUUGAGUUCGGAAGAGGGAAGUGGAAUUCCUGGUGUAGCGGUGAAAUGCGUAGAUAUCAGGAAGAACACCGGUGGCGAAGGCGGCUUCCUGGUCCGAUACUGACGCUGAGGCGCGAAAGCGUGGGGAGCAAACAGGAUUAGAUACCCCCGUA
rnacentral:rRNA from 1 species